CCGAGUGAGGGUCUCACGGCCCGACCUCCAACCCUGUGUUUAAUGACCUCUGUUGCUUUGGCGGGCCCGCCCCUGGGCCGCCGGGGUUCGCCCUGGCCCGCGCCCGCCAGAGACCCCCAAAAUUCUGCUGAACCGUGUCGUUCUCAGUCACAAACAAAUGAACA
rnacentral:misc_RNA from 1 species